ACCUCAGGCUGUGGAUGCUGCAGACCUGCUCCAUGCUCUUGGGUCUCCUCUGGGAGCUCAUCAGGACCAUGGUGGAAUGGACAAAGGUGGAACAUGAUGUCCUCUUCCCAGGGUACAGCCACCUGCAGAGGGCCCAGCCCCUCCGCUGGAGCCACUGGAUUCUGAGCCACACCAUGGCACUGACCCGAGACUCUGAGCAGCUGCUGGAGGUGCGGAAGUGGAUCGGUGUCCUGCCCCUGGGGA